GGGGGGAAAGAAAUCUAAUUAAAAGACAAAAGUUAAAAAGAAAAGAGUAAUAAGAAAUACAAUUUGUUUAAAAAGAAAAUAAGGCAAGAACAUUUAAGGAGAUAAAACAUAAACUAAAGUAUGGAAAAGGUAAAAUCUAACUAAGCAUACAGUAACCAAAAACUAACCUACACAUGAUAUGAUUUAUUGAAGCAAGAAAACUAAAAGUAAAUCUGAAUAAGAAAACUGUUGGAAACAGGAUGGCUUAAUUUGAACACCAAGAGGGGGGUGAAUUGGUGAGGUUCAAAAAUCAGAGUCUUUUUAAAAAGAUGCAAAGUAUAAAGCUUUACAAAGUUUCUUGAAUCACAAGUAACACGAAGUUUAAGUGUAGCGAAAAUAUAUAAUUGACUAUGCAAAAUGUAAAGUUGACUAAAAGUAAAGAGUUCAGGGAUAGAGAAAAUCAAACACAGUUUUUAUACUAGUUCAGCCUCAAUGUCUACAUACAGUGUCCUUCCACAACCAGGAAGGCAAUGCACUAUAUUAGUCAAGGUUUUUACAAUGAGAUUUCUAUAGAGACCUCAAUUUCAAAAGUAUAGACAAUCUCUUUAACCCUCUAACUAAAAGUAUAGGCAACAACACAAAGAUCUACAGCAAGAUAUCCCCU
rnacentral:lncRNA from 1 species